ensembl:lncRNA
GUAACAAUUAUUGUUCUAUCCAUUUUCAGAUGGGGAUCUGAGAAGUAAUCUCUUAAAAUAUUAGAUCUUUCAUUUGUUAUAAUCUUUCUACACCUAACACUGAACGGCACAACUGUCCACAGACUGAAGAAAUUAAAAGACACUUGCUUGGAAGAAAAGCUAUGACCAACCAAGACAGCAUAUUAAAAAGCCGAGACAUUACUUUGCCAACAAAGGUCCAUCUAGUCAAAGCUCUGGUUUUUCCAGUGUAUGGAUGUGAGAGUUGGACCAUAAAGAAAGCUGAGUGCGAAGAAUUGAUGCUUUUUAACUGUGGUGUUGGAGAAGACUCUUGAGAGUCCCUUGGACUGCAAGGUGAUCAAAACAGUCAAUCCUAAAGGAAAUCAGUCCUGAAUAUUCAUUGGAAGGACUGAUGUUGAAGCUGAAACUCCAAUACUUUGGCCACCUGAUGCGAAGAACUGACUCAUUUGAAAAGACCCUGAGGCUGGGAAAGAUUGAAGGCAGGAGGAGAAGGGGAUGACAGAGGAUGAGAUGGUUGGAUGGCAUCACUGACUAGAUAGACAUGAGUUUGAGAAAGCUCUGGGAGUUGGUGAUUGACGGGGAAGCCUGGCGUGCUGCAGUCCAUGUGGUCGCAGAGUCAGACGUGACUGAGUGACUGAACUGACUGACUGAACACAUUUUCUAAGAUUGAAUACUUGUAACUUUGAGAGUAUCUGGUGAAAACUGAGGUAAGCACUUGAGGAGGGCCCAAAACUCUCCAAGCCUCUGCUCCCUUUGCGGUAGCAAGAAAUGAGACUGUUUAGAGACAGGUUGCCCAGACCAUCAGACUUAAGCCAAACAGAGUAGAUGCCUGCCUUCGGCACGAUGUGUGUGCGCAGUUAUUUCUGUUGUGCCUGACUCUGUGUGACCCUAUGAACUGUGCCCGGCCAGGCUCCUCUGUCUUUGGGAUUCUUUGAGGCAAGAAUAUUGGAGUGGGUUGCCAUGCCCUCCUCCAGGCAAUCUUCCUGAACCAGGUUACUGAGCCUGUGGCAUCUCCUGCACCUGCAUAGCAGGCAGAUUCUUUACUACUGAGCCACCUGGGAAGCCUCUUAGGCAUGAAUAUUAACCAUCAAAUCAUAUUUGCUCCAGUUCCAAGCUCACCAAAUCAUAAAUUUGCUUCCCACUUGGAUUUGACCUCUGGGUUAGGAAGCAAGAAUAUGAAAUCUGCUCAGUGGCUAAUUUUUUAUUGAUUUAUUAAGAGACUGCUUAUAUCAAAAGCUCAAACAAUAACCAGUCAUUUGGAUAAAGACUGUUUUCUGUCUCUCAAAUUUCUGUCAACAUAUAUUAACUUCAUUACUUUACUCAUUAUGGUCUACCAGGCAGGCAUUUGGGAGAUAGAGUGGACAGGAGACAGAUCAGAUACC